UAGGGAAUCUUCCGCAAUGGGCGAAAGCCUGACGGAGCAACGCCGCGUGAGUGAUGAAGGUCUUCGGAUCGUAAAACUCUGUUAUUAGGGAAGAACAAAUGUGUAAGUAACUAUGCACGUCUUGACGGUACCUAAUCAGAAAGCCACGGCUAACUACGUGCCAGCAGCCGCGGUAAUACGUAGGUGGCAAGCGUUAUCCGGAAUUAUUGGGCGUAAAGCGCGCGUAGGCGGUUUUUUAAGUCUGAUGUGAAAGCCCACGGCUCAACCGUGGAGGGUCAUUGGAAACUGGAAAACUUGGGUGCAGAAGAGGAAAGUGGAAUUCCAUGUGUAGCGGUGAAAUGCGCAGAGAUAUGGAGGAAAACCAGUGGCGAAGGCGACUUUCUGGUCUGUAACUGAAGCUGAUGUGCGAAAGCGUGGGGAUCAAACAGG
rnacentral:rRNA from 1 species